rnacentral:rRNA from 1 species
CCUACGGGUGGCUGCAGUGAGGAAUAUUGGUCAAUGGACGAGAGUCUGAACCAGCCAAGUAGCGUGAAGGAUGACUGCCCUAUGGGUUGUAAACUUCUUUUAUAUGGGAAUAAAACGUUCCACGUGUGGGAUUUUGUAUGUACCAUAUGAAUAAGGAUCGGCUAACUCCGUGCCAGCAGCCGCGGUAAUACGGAGGAUCCGAGCGUUAUCCGGAUUUAUUGGGUUUAAAGGGAGCGUAGGUGGAUUGUUAAGGCAGUUGUGAAAGUUUGCGGCUCAACCGUAAAAUUGCAGUUGAAACGGGCAGUCUUGAGUACAGUAGAGGUGGGCGGAAUUCGUGGUGUAGCGGUGAAAUGCUUAGAUAUCACGAAGAACUCCGAUUGCGAAGGCAGUUCACUGGACUGCAACUGACACUGAGGCUCGAAAGUGUGGGUAUCAAACAGGAUUAGAGACCCCUGUAGUC